rnacentral:lncRNA from 1 species
UGAGGUUCAACGACGCAGCUGCCAAGCGACCUCUUUUCACAACAGGGCUAGUAGGCAAAGACAAUGCAAUAGCGAGGCAUGGAAUUCAUGGGAUCUACUGGUUUUAUACCAUUGAUGUGCCGAAUGAUGUACUUGUCGAUGGAAAAAAUACAAUUUAUUUGACUCAGACAAGAGUUGCCGCAGCCUUUUCUGGUGUGAUGUAUGAUUACAUUCGUUUGGAAGGGCCAACAAGUACCUGAUUCGUCAGCUCCAAAUUUUUUAAAGUUAUUUUUAUAUACUUUUAAGCAUGACAAAAUCCAAAAUUAAUGUCAAUAAGUCGAUCAGGUACGGCUUAAUUGGCCUUUUUCAGGUUUUAUAAAAGAUGUGGAGAGCAAGAAGUUUCAUUUUUGGAGUACGUUAUAUACAGGAGAAGCUUACCCUCUAAUGUUGUAAUGUCUAAUGAUAUCCUAGCUCAUUAGUUCUCUAAUAUAUACUAAAAAUGUUAAUGCAUAUGAAAUUUCCCUCUAUUCAAUCCUUGCUUUGAAUUUUUGUUUAUUUACAUUUUUUUAAUUUAAACAAAAGGAGAGAUUGUUCAAUCCAGUAGGUUUAUCCACAUCUCUGUUCUUGUUCAUUUGACGAUCAAACUUUCAUAAUUUCAUACGAAAUGAGUGCUUAGCUUCCCUUAUAUACGUUAUAUACAGGGGAAGCGUACCCUCUAAUGUUGUAAUCUCUAAUGAUAUUCUACCUCAUUAGUUCUCUA